rnacentral:rRNA from 1 species
GAUGAACGCUGGCGGCGUGCCUAAUACAUGCAAGUCGAGCGAACAGACGAGGAGCUUGCUCCUCUGACGUUAGCGGCGGACGGGUGAGUAACACGUGGAUAACCUACCUAUAAGACUGGGAUAACUUCGGGAAACCGGAGCUAAUACCGGAUAAUAUGUUGAACCGCAUGGUUCAACAGUGAAAGACGGUUUUGCUGUCACUUAUAGAUGGAUCCGCGCCGCAUUAGCUAGUUGGUAAGGUAACGGCUUACCAAGGCAACGAUGCGUAGCCGACCUGAGAGGGUGAUCGGCCACACUGGAACUGAGACACGGUCCAGACUCCUACGGGAGGCAGCAGUAGGGAAUCUUCCGCAAUGGGCGAAAGCCUGACGGAGCAACGCCGCGUGAGUGAUGAAGGUCUUCGGAUCGUAAAACUCUGUUAUUAGGGAAGAACAAAUGUGUAAGUAACUAUGCACGUCUUGACGGUACCUAAUCAGAAAGCCACGGCUAACUACGUG